rnacentral:rRNA from 1 species
UACAGAGGGGGCAAGCGUUGUUCGGAAUUACUGGGCGUAAAGGGCGCGUAGGCGGCCCGCUAAGUCGAACGUGAAAUCCCCGAGCUCAACUCGGGAACUGCGUCCGAUACUGGCGGGCUUGAAUCCGGGAGAGGGAUGCGGAAUUCCAGGUGUAGCGGUGAAAUGCGUAGAUAUCGGGAGGAAUACCGAUGGCGAAGGCAGGUCUCUGGGCUAUAACUGACGCUCAUGCACGAAAGCGUGGGGAGCAAACAGG